GGAUUAGAUACCCUGGUAGUCCACGCUGUAAACGAUGAGUACUAGCUGUUGGUCCUGGUGUAAAAGGAUUAGUGGCGCAGCUAACGCGCUAAGUACUCCGCCUGGGGACUACGGCCGCAAGGUUAAAACUCAAAGGAAUUGACGGGGACCCGCACAAGCGGUGGAGCAUGUGGUUUAAUUCGAUGCAACGCGAAGAACCUUACCUACCCUUGACAUCCUAAGAAGACGAAAGAGAUUUUGUUGUGCCUUCGGGAACUUAGAGACAGGUGCUGCAUGGCUGUCGUCAGCUCGUGCCG
rnacentral:rRNA from 1 species